UUUUAUUGCAUGUUAAAUUUGUCACUUUUUGAGGGUGAGCAAAAACGCUCCGUUUUUGUGUGUGUCCCUUUAAAUGCAAAUGAGCCGCUGCUCUCAAGAAGAGGGCAGAGUUUCAAGAGCUCCUGUUAGCACUGCAGCGCCGAUUACCUCACACAGACUCACUUAAAAUGUUAGAAACUGUCCAGCCUUUUAUGUUCAAAACGGAGUCGGACAAUGAUGGAGAGACUCAAGAAGAAGUGACAACAUGUAGAAUGCAACAGGACGUUUCUAAAUGGUCCUCUGAACAGAAGGCCAUGACAGUAGAGCAUGUGCACGUACAAGCUCACAGACAGUCACACAAAUAGUCAAGUGGUUUAUGAAAAGGGAAGAUGAGUCCGCACGCAAGCAAAGGAACACACACAUCUGCUGAAUGUGUCAGUGGGAGCAGGGAUUCUGGGUAGAGAUUUACAGAUCCACAGAUCCACAUGCACCACCAACAUGAGAAACAAAAAAACAUUUAAUGAAAAAAAAUAUUUUUAAGCAUAUGUUUAACAAUGUUGCUUGUAGUGGUCUUACGCCUGCAGAAAUAAACUUUCAGUUUUAGGCAACAACUGUGUCUUGCACAUGAGUUUUUUUUUUCUGUAUAUGGUUCAUAUAACAGUUAAAGCAACAAUGCUGCUAAGAUUGUUCCACAGUUUCUUUGUGCUUAGUUUUAAUUCAUACAUUAAUUAUAAGAUCAUGAGCACUUAAUUCAAGAUCAUUUGCUUAGAAUGAACUUAUUUAUUCCAUCCUUUCUUUUUUAAAAUCACAUUUACGUCAGAGUUCAGUGAAGUUAUUGUAUCAUGGGAGUUUCCCUAAAAUCUGUUUCUCUUUUGCUCUGUUUGCUUUUCAU